UCCAGACUCCUACGGGAGGCAGCAGUGAGGAAUAUUGGUCAAUGGGCGCGAGCCUGAACCAGCCAAGUAGCGUGAAGGAUGACUGCCCUACGGGUUGUAAACUUCUUUUAUAAAGGAAUAAAGUGAGGCACGUGUGCCUUUUUGUAUGUACUUUAUGAAUAAGGAUCGGCUAACUCCGUGCCGGCAGCCGCGGUAAUACGGAGGAUCCGAGCGUUAUCCGGAUUUAUUGGGUUUAAAGGGUGCGCAGGCGGAAGAUCAAGUCAGCGGUAAAUUUGAGGGGCUCAACCUCUUCGAGCCGUUGAAACUGGUUUUCUUGAGUGAGCGAGAAGUAUGCGGAAUGCGUGGUGUAGCGGUGAAAUGCAUAGAUAUCGCGCAGAACUCCGAUUGCGAAGGCAGCAUGCCGGCUCCACACUGACGCUGAGGCACGAAAGCGUGGGUAUCGAACAGGAUUAGAUACCCCUGUA
rnacentral:rRNA from 1 species